rnacentral:lncRNA from 1 species
UCUUGAGUAUCGUACUUUGGUAUUAUAAAGUAUUUUACUGGUAUAAUAAAUUGGUCAUUGAAUUCGAUUUUCAUUCUCUUAGAUGAGUACCGAACUGACUGCCUCAACCGAGAUCACCAAAUAGAGAUAUAAUAUUUCUUCUACUUUCGAUUUUAUGAGUAAUGAUGGAGAUUUUAAGUAUUUUUUCAAAUCUUUAAAGGAUUGUUGACACUCAUCGGAUCAUGAAAAGUCUCUCAUUUGUCGUAAGAUCUUGAAGAAGGAUAGACACCUUUCUUUCGAUCUUGAAAUGAAUCUUGUUAGAUGUGUGCCCUAGAUGUC